rnacentral:rRNA from 1 species
CCCCGCAAGGGGUAAGUAGAGUGGCAAACGGGUGAGUAACACGUGGGUGACCUGCCUUCGAGUGGGGGAUAACGUCCCGAAAGGGACGCUAAUACCGCAUAACAUCCUGCCUUUGAAGAGGUGGAGAUCAAAGCUGGGGACCGCAAGGCCUAGCGCUCAAAGAGGGGCCCGCGCCUGAUUAGCUAGUUGGUGGGGUAAUGGCUCACCAAGGCAACGAUCAGUAUCCGGCCUGAGAGGGCGGACGGACACACUGGGACUGAGACACGGCCCAGACUCCUACGGGAGGCAGCAGUGGGGAAUUGUUCGCAAUGGGCGCAAGCCUGACGACGCAACGCCGCGUGGAGGAUGAAGACCUUCGGG